ACAUCCAGCGAACUUGGCAGAGAUGCCUUGGUGCCUUCGGGAACGCUGAGACAGGUGCUGCAUGGCUGUCGUCAGCUCGUGUUGUGAAAUGUUCGGGUUAAGUCCCGNAACGAGCGCAACCCUUAUCCUUUGUUGCCAGCGAUUCGGUCGGGAACUCAAAGGAGACUGCCGGUGAUAAACCGGAGGAAGGUGGGGAUGACGUCAAGUCAUCAUGGCCCUUACGAGUAGGGCUACACACGUGCUACAAUGGCGCAUACAAAGAGAAGCGACCUCGCGAGAGCAAGCGGACCUCAUAAAGUGCGUCGUAGUCCGGAUCGGAGUCUGCAACUCGACUCCGUGAAGUCGGAAUCGCUAGUAAUCGUGGAUCAGAAUGCCACGGUGAAUACGUUCCCGGGCCUUGUACACACCGCCCGUCACACCAUGGGAGUGGGUUGCAAAAGAAGUAGGUAGCUUAACCUUCGGGAGGGCGCUUACCACUUUGUGAUUCAUGACUGGGGUGAAGUCGUAACAAGGUAGGCGUAGCGAG
rnacentral:rRNA from 1 species